GUGUAUAUAUAUAGAGUCCAGCUAUGGUGUUUCUAAAAGCAGUAAGCACUUGGUGCUUGUAAGUUUUCCGCCAUUAGAUCUACUUCUUUGAUCAUUUUCAUCCGUUAGAUCAUACUAUUCGACCAACCAUCUAUUCAACCCUAGAGGACCACUAUCAUCUUAACUGCACAUCCCUUAAUCCAAAGACUGUAAAUCUACAAGUAUCAAUAAUCUGGUAUUUUCAAACA
rnacentral:lncRNA from 1 species